rnacentral:rRNA from 1 species
CACGUAGGGGGCAAGCGUUGUCCGGAUUCAUUGGGCGUAAAGAGCGUGUAGGCGGUCAGGUAGGUCCGUUGUGAAAACUCGAGGCUCAACCUCGAGACGCCGAUGGAAACCAUCUGACUAGAGUCCGGAAGAGGAGAGUGGAAUUCCUGGUGUAGCGGUGAAAUGCGCAGAUAUCAGGAAGAACACCCGUGGCUAAGGCGGCUCUCUAGUACGGUACUGACGCUGAGACGCGAAAGCGUGGGGAGCGAACAGG